rnacentral:rRNA from 1 species
AAGUAUAUGCAUAUUUUAUAUGUAGAAACUGCGAACGGCUCAUUAAAACAGUUAUAAUCUACUUGACAUUUUUUCUAUAAGGAUAACUACGGAAAAGCUGUAGCUAAUACUUGCUUUAGCACUCUUGAUUAAGUUCUUGAGUGUGUACUUGUUAAGCCUUUUAAGAAAAAAGUUAUUAACUUAAGGAAUUAUAACAAAGAAGUAACACAUAAUGGAUCCGUCCAUUUUUAGUGUGUAUCAAUCGAGUUUCUGACCUAUCAGCUUUUGAUGUUAGGGUAUUGGCCUAACAUGGCUAUGACGGGUAACGGGGAAUUAGAGUUCGAUUCCGGAGAGGGAGCCUGAGAAAUAGCUACCACAUCUAAGGAAGGCAGCAGGCGCGUAAAUUACCCAAUUCUAAAGAAGAGAGGUAGUGACAAGAAAUAACAAUACAAGGCCAAUCUGGCUUUGUAAUUGGAAUGAUGGGAAUUUAAAACCUUCCCAAAACUCAAUUGGAGGGCAAGUCUGGUGCCAGCAGCCGCGGUAAUUCCAGCUCCAAUAGCGUAUAUUAAAAUUGUUGCAGUUAAAACGCUCGUAGUUGAAUUUCAAAGAAUCGAUAUUUUAAGUAACGCUUCUAGCUUAAUCCACAUAACUGAUACAACGUAUCGACUUUGUGCGCAUUUUGCUAUUAUGUGUUCUUUUAAUUAAAAUGAUUCUUUUUAAGAUCUUUCAAUUGCUUCGGCGUUGGAGAUCUUGUUACUUUGAGUAAAUUAGAGUGUUCAAAGCAAACAGAUAUAGCAUUGCGCGUUUGAAUACUACAGCAUGGAAUAACAAAAUUGAACAAGUCAGAAUUUUGUUCUUUUUUCUUAUUUUGGCUUAGUUACGAUUAAUAGGAGUAGCUUGGGGGCAUUUGUAUUCAGAUGUCAGAGGUGAAAUUCUUAGAUUUUCUGGAGACAAACAACUGCGAAAGCAUUUGCCUAAAAUACUUCCAUUAAUCAAGAACGAAAGUUAAGGGAGUGAAGACGAUCAGAUACCGUCGUAAUCUUAACCAUAAACUAUGCCGACUAGGCUUUGGAUGAAAGAUUUUAAAAUAAGAGAUUUUCUCUUCGGAGUUAAUCUCUUAGAUUGCUUCCUUCAGUGCCUUAUGAGAAAUCAAAGUCUUUGGGUUCUGGGGCGAGUAUUCGCGCAAGCGAGAAAGUUAAAAGAAUUGACGGAAGGGCACCACCAGGCGUGGAGCUUGCGGCUUAAUUUGACUCAACACGGGAAAACUCACUAGUUUAAGACAAGAGUAGGAUUGACAGAUUAAUAGCUCUUUCUUGAUUUCUUGGAUGGUGAUGCAUGGCCGUUUUUAGUUCGUGAAUAUGAUUUGUCUGGUUAAUUCCGAUAACGAACGAGAUCUUAACCUGCUAAUUAGCGGCAAAUACGAUAUAUUCUUAUGUGGAAUUGAAUAUAGUUGAUUUGCUUAUUUUGAAGAAAAUAUUGGGAUACGUAAAUGUAUCCCUUUCCCUUUUCUACUUAAUUUGCUUAUCAUACUAUUUCUUUUUUGCGUAAGAAUGUAUUUGCUUGAUUGUAAAGCUUCUUAGAGGAACGAUGUGUGUCUAACACAAG